GACGAACGCUGGCGGCGUGCCUAAUACAUGCAAGUUGAGCGCUGAAGGUUGGUACUUGUACCGACUGGAUGAGCAGCGAACGGGUGAGUAACGCGUGGGGAAUCUGCCUUUGAGCGGGGGACAACAUUUGGAAACGAAUGCUAAUACCGCAUAAAAACUUUAAACACAAGUUUUAAGUUUGAAAGAUGCAAUUGCAUCACUCAAAGAUGAUCCCGCGUUGUAUUAGCUAGUUGGUGAGGUAAAGGCUCACCAAGGCGAUGAUACAUAGCCGACCUGAGAGGGUGAUCGGCCACAUUGGGACUGAGACACGGCCCAAACUCCUACGGGAGGCAGCAGUAGGGAAUCUUCGGCAAUGGACGAAAGUCUGGCCGAGCAACGCCGGGUGAGUGAAGAAGGUUUUCGGAUCGUAAAACUCUGUUGGUAGAGAAGAACGUUGGUGAGAGUGGAAAGCUCAUCAAGUGACGGUAACUACCCAGAAAGGGACGGCUAACUACGUG
rnacentral:rRNA from 1 species